GCGACUGUUUACCAAAAACACAGGUCUCCGCAAAGUCGUAAGACGAUGUAUGGGGGCUGACACCUGCCCAGUGCCAGAAGGUUAAAGAAGUUGGUUAGUUUCGACAAAGCUGACGACUGAAGCCCUGGUGAACGGCGGCAGUAACUAUAACUGUCCUAAGGUAGCGAAAUUCCUUGUCGGGUAAGUUCCGACCCGCACGAAAGGCGUAACGAUCAGGGGAUACUGUCUCAGAGAGAGGCUCGGUGAAAUAAAAAUAUCUGUGAAGAUGCGGAUUACCUGCACGCGGACAGAAAGACCCUAUGAAGCUUUACUGUAACCUGGAAUUGCUCUCAAGCUUAUUUUGCGCAGCUUAGGUGGGAGACGUUGAACUUCUUUUUCCGGAAAGGAGGGAGUCAUCAGUGAGAUACCACUCUUGGUAAGCUAGAGCGCUCAUUUCUAACCGUUAUCCGGUAGAAAGACAGUUUCAGGCGGGCAGUUUGACUGGGGCAGUCACCUCCCAAAGAGUAAUGGAGGUGUACAAAGGUUCGCUCAGGCUGGACGGAAAUCAGCCAUAGAGUGUAAAAGCAAAAGCGAGCUUGACUGCGAGACUGACAUGUCAAGCAGAGACGAAAGUCGGUUUUAGUGAUCCGACGGUGCUGAGUGGAAAGGCCGUCGCUCAACGGAUAAAAGUUACUCUAGGGAUAACAGGCUAAUCUCCCCCAAGAGUUCACAUCGACGGGGAGGUUUGGCACCUCGAUGUCGGCUUAUCGCAUCCUGGAGCGGAAGUACGUUCCAAGGGUUGGGCUGUUCGCCCAUAGAAAGCGGUACAUGAGCUGGGUUCAGAACGUCGUGAGACAGUUUGGUCCAUAUCCCGUGUAGGCGUUUAGAACAUUGAAAGGAUCUCCCCUUUGUACGAGAGGACCAGGUGGGGACAAUCCGCUAGUGUACCAGUUAUUCCGCCAGGAGUAAACGCUGGGUAGCUAUGAUUGGAGGAAAUAACUGCUGAAAGCAUAUAAGUAGGAAGUUCACCUUAAGAUGAGUGUUCUUUUGUCAUUGAACAAUUGUUCAUACAAGACAGAGAAGGUCAUGGGAAGACUACCCAUUUGAUAGGCGUAAUGUAGACGCUCAGUAAUGAGUUUUGAAGCUGAUACGUACUAAUAGACCGAAGGAUUUGAUUUU
rnacentral:rRNA from 1 species